rnacentral:rRNA from 1 species
GACGAACGCUGGCGGCGUGCUUAACACAUGCAAGUCGAACGGAAAGGCCCUGCUUUUGUGGGGUGCUCGAGUGGCGAACGGGUGAGUAACACGUGAGUAACCUGCCCUUGACUUUAGGAUAACUUCAGGAAACUGGGGCUAAUACCGGAUAGGAGCUCCUGCUGCAUGGUGGGGGUUGGAAAGUUUCGGCGGUUGGGGAUGGACUCGCGGCUUAUCAGCUUGUUGGUGGGGUAGUGGCUUACCAAGGCUUUGACGGGUAGCCGGCCUGAGAGGGUGACCGGCCACAUUGGGACUGAGAUACGGCCCAGACUCCUACGGGAGGCAGCAGUGGGGAAUAUUGCACAAUGGGCGGAAGCCUGAUGCAGCAACGCCGCGUGCGGGAUGAAGGCCUUCGGGUUGUAAACCGCUUUCGCCUGUGACGAAGCGUGAGUGACGGUAAUGGGUAAAGAAGCACCGGCUAACUACGUG